UACAGAGGGUGCAAGCGUUAAUCGGAAUUACUGGCGUAAAGCGUGCGUAGACGGUCAUGUAAGUCGGGUGUGAAAGCCCCGGGCUCAACCUGGGAAUUGCAUUCGAGACUGCAUGGCUAGGAUGCGGAAGAGGGAAGCGGAAUUUCCGGUGUAGCGGUGAAAUGCGUUGAUAUCGUUCGGAACACCAAUAGCGUAGGCAGGCUUCUGGGUGCCACCUGACACUGCUAGGACGAAAGCGUGGGGAGCGAAUGGG
rnacentral:rRNA from 1 species